CACGUAGAUGGCUUUGUAAGUCGGAUGUGAAAUCCCCGGGCUCAACCUGGGAACUGCAUUCGAAACUGCAUUGCUCGAAUGUGGAAGAGGGAAGCGGAAUUCCAGGUGUAGCGGUGAAAUGCGUAGAUAUCUGGAGGAACAUCAGUGGCGAAGGCGGCUUCCUGGUCCAACAUUGACAUUCAGGUGCGAAAGCGUGGGAGCAAACAGGAUUAGAUACCCUGGUAGUCCACGCCAUAAACGAUGAGAACUAGAUGUCGGAGGGUUAGCCUUCCGGUGUCGCAGCUAACGCGUUAAGCUCUCCGCCUGGGGAGUACGGCCGCAAGGUUGAA
rnacentral:rRNA from 1 species